rnacentral:misc_RNA from 1 species
CCUGUUCGAGCGUCAUAACAACCAAUCCAGCUCGCUGGGUCUUGGGCACCGCCGGAAGGCGGGCCUCAAAUGUAGUGGCGGUACGGCCGGGCUCUAAGCGUAGUACAUCACCUCGCUAUAGGGUCCUGGACGGCACCUGCCAACAACCCCCCAUUUAUCAGGUUGACCUCGGAUCAGGUAGGGAUACCCGCUGAACUUAA